UACGUAGGGACCGAGCGUUGUCCGGAUUCAUUGGGCGUAAAGAGCUCGUAGGCGGCCACUCAAGUCGAAUGUGAAACCUCGAGGCUCAACCUCGAGCCUGCAUUCGAUACUGGGCGGCUAGAGUCUGGUAGGGGGAUCUGGAAUUCCUGGUGUAGCGGUGGAAUGCGCAGAUAUCAGGAGGAACACCGGUGGCGAAGGCGGGAUCCUGGGCCAGUACUGACGCUGAGGAGCGAAAGCAUGGGGAGCGAACAGG
rnacentral:rRNA from 1 species